rnacentral:lncRNA from 1 species
GUUUGUAACCUGGGUCACAAUCUCCAUCAUACCACCUGGCACGACUCUCUGGGCCAGUCCCUGAGAUGACUAUGUUGUCAAAGACAAAUCGUGGGUCAAGAUUGAAAUGGGGGACAGUCUGGAAUUUACGAGGAUGAGAUAGAAUGGACAGCCCUGUGACAUCAACUUGGAAGAGGUUGGACUCCAGAUUUGGAUACUCAGAUCCCGGAGAAAUGGCUUGAGAAAGACAUGUUGAAGAGGAAAAAUACGUUAAGGCUUGCCAAUCAGCUGACUGCAGCAGCAGCAGCAGCAGCAGCAGCAGCAGUGAUGCACAGAUCUGAUCUGCGUUGGCAAUAUACUUGUAAUUCGGACAUGCAUCUCCAGGACACCAGCCUUAGCAGGAAGGGGAGCCAAUCAAGGGGAAACAAUUAUGCAAAUUUAAAAUGUAAACUCUCUGGAGCCCCUGCCACAACCUGAUCUCUAUAAGAAUCAUGAUGUUUCCAAGGCAGCACAUGGUUUGGGGAAAUUGGAGAGAAUACUCCCGAUGGAAAGGGAUAACAUCACAGCUGCCACAACAAUGCUAUCCAGUGAGCAAAUGUCGGAUGUUCAGAGGGACCAAGUCAUCUUGAUUAGAAUCGUGGAGGAGCUGAAGAAUUCACAUUUGGGCUGAUGGGCCUGGGGUAGGGAUGACCAACAGACCACAUGCUUCUUGUCUCUUCUACUCCCUGAUCCUCUGAUAGACAGGGCUAAGUGAUCAUCCACUCCUUCCACCCUCCAGCCUCCGAGUGGGCCACUUUUCAAGCAUGGAAUUCCAGGUUCUGCACCCUCGGAUUCAACCAACCAAGGAUUGAAACUAUUUGAAGGAAAAGAACAAUAAUAAUACAAAUAAAAGCCAAUAACAAUAUAACAACUAUUUAUGUAGCAUUUACAUUGUAUUAGAUAUUAUAAAUAAUCUAGAGAUGAUUUAACGCACAUGAGAGCAUAUGCAUAGGUUAUAUGCAAAUAGUAUGUCAUUUUAUAUAAGGGAGUUGAGCAUCCACAGAUUUGGGUUUCUGCAGGGAGCCCUGGAAUCCUGUGGAUACCGAGGGACGAUUGUACAUUUUGAGAACCGAAGCCCGGUGCUACCCUGUUGCAGCGAUGAAGUAUCCAGGUCACCUGGAGAAAGCUGACAUAAGAGCAGGCACACAGCAGGAAGCUUUGAUCCUCAUCUUCUCUCUGGCUGCAGCCCUCAGCUCUUGUGCACCAACUCUGACCAAUGACUAGGACUGGCUGCUCGGAGUACAGCUGUAUUGAGAAAGAUUCUGAGGCUGGGUCUGCAUUCAGCAGGAAAAAAAAUGAAGUAAUUGUUUGGUAAUGCCUGACAUAGGCCUAAGAAUGGGGGAAACGGUAACCCUCCUGCCAGGUUUUGUAGAAUUUUCUCUAAUUCAUUUUCUUUAGAGAUACGGUAAGGACCCGCCCCCACCCAAAUGGGUAAAAGGCAAAGCCUGGUUUCCAUUUUUUUGUAAAGCCUCAGAUCACAGGGGCACCUGAGCCAUUAGUGUCCCAAUGGCAGGGCAAGGCAGGCAUGUCUAUAAAUCUCCAGUUUUUUGUUUGCUUAUUUUCUUCUUUAAACUGCUUACAAUUUCUCCUCUUUCAUCCUCAUUUCCACAGGAGGUGUAACACUAUGGACGAGUGGGCAACUGGCUCUUCAGGCUUGGAACCAAGAGGGGGCAGCAGAGAGCAGAGAAGAAUUGGUUGGCUUGGGCUGACCCAGACCUAGGAAAACUUCCAAUCUUCUUCUUCUUCCCUCAAAACCGAAUCCUUGUGGACUCACUCUUGAGACUAUUGUCCACACAAGUGGUGUGGUCCAAGGCCACAGCAAGAAAGGUCUGAGGGAGUUCUUUGGGGUUCAGGUGGAGAAAAGCCUGUGCUGGAUGCCAGGCUGCUCUGAGAACAGGAAGGAAGAUAAUAAUGUUAACAGCAACAGUUACAAUUACCCAGCCCCUGUAGGGUGCCAGGCCCUCUGCCAAGGUGCUUUCUUUUCAUUCUCUCAAAGACUACUUGAGGUGGGGAAACCCCCAGUUUACAGAUGAGAAAACAGGGUCCCAGAGUGGUUAAAUACCUUGCCCAUGAUCACGUGACUAAGGGAGGGCCAAGCCACAUUUUAGACUCUUGCCUGUCCUGCCCUCUGUGUUAUGGUGCCCUUCCAGGAAGGAGGCAGAAAGGUGCACCUGGAGUUAGAAUAUCCUUGGGGAGUGUCCCGGACCCAAGGGAAGGCAAACGGUCCUUCUGGUACAGACUGCUGUCUCCUGAUGGCCACGGGUCUCCUGACAGAUUUAGCCAAUUCACUGGCUCACAGGUCCAUGCACCAUCCUCAGCAGAGCCGGGGUAAGGUAGCUGGGCUCGAACAGCCCCAGAAAAAGGCAAAAAGAAAGAUAACAGAAACUUGUAUGGAACUUUCAAGUACUCACUGUGGAAGUCAUUGAUUUAUCUGCCUACUGUGAGAGUUAUGUCACGUUGGAAGGUCACAUUAGAACGCCCCUCACCUCCUGCAGCCUCAGCUCCACCCUGGGCUCAGAGAUCAAUCCUUGCCUUAUUUAGGGAAGCACAUCCAAGCAUAUUUGAAACUUUUGGGAUGGGCUUGGGGAUACUGGCACCAGGGACAUCUUGCUGUCAGUACUGUCCUGAUUCUGAGAACUCCACUAACGCCACAUUCCUCAAUCCAAGCCUGGAUCUGGGACUCAGGCUGCUGCCUCACUAAAUGCCUUAUCUUUUGGGUCACUGCAGACCAGGGCCCUGCCUUCUUUAGCCAAUGUCUGUUUCCCUCAUCUGGCAGUAGGACAUCAGUCUACCAAAAGAGUCACAUGUUCAUAUCCCAGCUUAGGUCCAAGUUGUGAACCAACUUCAUUUCUUAAUGUAAUCACUUUUUUGGUAUUGCUUUUUUUCUCUAAAAAGUAUGUAUAUUUUCUGAUCCUACAUGUAAUAUUUUCUGGGCCAGUUGCAGUGGCACACACCUGAGCUACUCAAGGAAGCUGAGGCGGGAGGAUCCCUUGAGCCCAGGAGUUUGAGGUUACAGUGAACUAUGAUUGCGUCACUGUACUCCAGCCUAGACAGCUAGCAAGACCCCAUCUCUUAAAAAAAAUUGUUAGAAAAUACUUUAAAGCAUCAAGGAGAAAAAAAUUUCUCCUAUCUUUCUGGAUACAUUUUUCUCAACUGCGCUUAUUACUAUCUAACACCGUCCUUUACUUAGGUUUUCAUUGUUUGUCUCCUUCUCUAGAAUGGGAGCUUGACAACAUGAGGGAUUUCAUGUUUUGUUCACUGCAAGUUCCUUAAUUCCCAGAACAAUACCUGGCACAUUUACAGAAUGAAUGAAUUAAUUCAUAAUGCCAUGACAUCAGAUAUAAUUUUAUUUAAUAUUAUAGAGGGAACAUUUUUCAAUGUCAAUAAAAUUUUUUCAAAAGCA